rnacentral:rRNA from 1 species
UUCCCAUUCCGUAAGGAAGUAAGACCCCUGAGAGAUGAUCAGGUAGAUAGGAUGGAAGUGGAAGUGCGGUGACGUAUGAAGCGGACCAUUACUAAUCGGUCGAGGACUUAACCAAG